rnacentral:tRNA from 1 species
CGUCACGCACUACCGCUAUGACCGGCGCGUUGCGCUCGGCCCCCAGGUGGUCCGCCUGCGCCCGGCGCCGCAUUGCC